rnacentral:lncRNA from 1 species
UUGUGCCUUCAAAGGGGCAAUUUGAAAGGACAACCCCACCAAAAACCAUUAUAAUUGUAAAUUGAAAUGAUUUAUAUUAAAAAUGUUUGUACCUAUGUAAUUGUACAUGUAAAGCUGGAAAUUCAGGCAUACCAUGGAAAAUUUGAAAAAAUUAAGCACCACAGACAUCAAACAACAGUGGGGAUAAUUU